AUAAUAAUAAUAAUAAAACAAAAAAGGCAAAUUACACGGUUACAGAUAACUACUAAUGUUCAUUCCAUUUCUGUCAUGAAUAUAACGUACGCUUGAGCCUUGGGGCUAUUGGGUGUGAUCCGGACCCCAGUGAAGCAAACAUGAGAAGCUAUGAUUACUAUUCGCAUCUUACCCUUUUUAUUUUCCUGAACCAGAGAAAAAGCAACUUCAAUUCCACAAAGAUUUUGCUUAUCAAUUAACUUAAUUUACUGUAAAAUCAGUACCUGAAAUCUCCUUGAGAUACUCGUAAAGUGCCAUCAUCAGAACUCAACUACUUGACAUUAGAUCACAAUACAUUUGAAAAGUAUCCUGAUAACAUGUGACUACUAGCAGAUCUUCUUCUUUCUUCACCAAUACAUCUCGUCCAUAGCCAAGCUGCCUUAUUAGCGUUUCAACUGUCCUGCAGUAGCACUAGCAUUUACAACGGAAGAAACAGAAUAGAUCCCAUCACUACCCUUUUCGGUUUGCACAGCACCAUUUCUGGAUUGCUCCUUACGGAUCAUUCCAUCAACCAGAAUCCGCUUGUUGUUGUUAUUACUAAAUUUAUGCUGCUGCUGAGCAGACUCUUUAACGGCUCCUUUGGUUUCUUUCUCUUUGGCGGCUAAGAAGGCGAGUCUUUCCAAAGCUUCUCUUGCUCUCUUCUUAGCCAAAGCAGCCUCCUUGACCCUCCUCUCCGCUUCAACCCUGGCGACAGCUGCGGCUUUCGUCAUGGAGACAGCGGCAAUUUUGGCAGCAGCGACGAGUGCUCUGGCAGAGUCCUUAUCAAUGGGCCUCCCACUGUUUGUGUUAUCAUUGGUGGAGGAGGAGUCGAGGUUAAAAAAGGAGAAAUUAGGGGUGGAGCAAGGGGGGCAGAGAAAGGAAGGAGGGGAAUGAGGGUGAGAGCAAGGAACGCAGGAGAGGUGGGAGAUGGAAGGGCAUUUGAGGCACAUGAGGCGCUCCUUGGGGGGAAGAGACUCCUCGAACACUUGGAAGCAGAAGGGGCAGAAGAGACCCUGGUGGGUCUUCAAGAUGCAAUUGGUGCAAAGGCGACGGUAGGCGGCUCUGUGGCGGACGUUGUGGAGGACCCAGCGCCUGUCUCCACCGCAACCCCCGCAUUGGGACUGGUGAUCUCUGUUCAUUUGUAAAUUGUGAUUAAUUACUAUGAGAAUAUGAAUGGGAGUAGCAUGAGGAGAUUGAUCUGUAAGAAGUAACCCUAAGGAGUAGAGAGAGAUUAGGGUUAAAAGUACUUGGAAAUGGAUUGUGGUGCAGAGGACUUGCUUCUGCCAAAUAGGAAUGAUCGAUUUCGAAAUUUGGAAUGGCGAAGCCCAGGAACGAAGCAGAAGCCAAGCGCGGAGAAUUUCUUUAUUUUAUUUUUUAUUAGUCAAGUUUUUAUAAUUUAAAAAAUUAUCAGAGCAUCUCGACGUCCAUUUCGAG
rnacentral:misc_RNA from 1 species